UACGUAGGGGGCAAGCGUUAUCCGGAUUUAUUGGGCGUAAAGAGCUCGUAGGCGGCCGUUCGCGUCGGAUGUGAAAGCUCAGGGCUCAACCCUGAGACGCCACUCGAUACGGGGCGGCUAGAGGUAGGUAGGGGAAAGUGGAAUUCCUGGUGUAGCGGUGAAAUGCGCAGAUAUCAGGAGGAACACCGGUGGCGAAGGCGGCUUUCUGGGCCUUACCUGACGCUGAGGAGCGAAAGCUGGGGGAGCGAACAGG
rnacentral:rRNA from 1 species